GAGAAAUUACAAGAAGAGGUGCAAAAGUUACGAGAGGAACGCGAACAUCUAAUGGAACUUCUUAAAAUACAUAGUCAGGUGUGUCCCAAGAUGUCCAGACUCGGCUCAUGAUGUCACUUCCGGUUCUGACAAGAACAUCAUCUGUAUAAGUUGUUCUCAAGUAACUUGUAGUCAAAACAGGCUGACCAACGAUUCUUCUGUUUCUUCAAGAUGACAUAGGUUCCCCGAGAGACACAAGUGCGGUACCGAAGAAGAGACACUUUUUGUUUAUCAGUCUUUGUGACCGGAGGUCUUGGCUCCGACAUUUUUGUAGGAGCGAUAUAAAAGAUUGGCGAAAAGAGCAAAAACUGACUGGCUGACAAAUAACCAGCAACUGCAAGAAGGUGAAAAAUUGUUUGUGGUUUAGAACUGACGUACAUUUAACGUUUGUUUUCAGAUCUGAUCAUGUGAAGGGUUUAGCUAAACAUGGUAUUAAAUGUAUCAUGUUGAUAUUUCUAUAUAUCAGGCUAUACUCUUUCAUUGUCAUGCUACAACUGUGUUUUACUUGCCAAGUUUACAAUGAAACUUAGAAAUUGAUUUCAAUCAAAUGGCUUACUGUAUAUGGUAUUUAUACUGUAUAAAAUGGCAGCGAUUUUACGAAAACUUUAUUUUAUAUGUAAUAUCAUUUUUGUACGACGAAUUUGUUUGGAAGGUGGAUCGCAGAUUUUGUACGUGGCUUACUCAGGACUUACAUAUGUGUUUAAUUUAUUUAUCAAAGUUAACAAUAUUCCGGAAGACCGAGUCCUGAACAAAAAUGGCGGUCUUCUAUCCACACCAUUACUGAUAUGUAUUUUGUUGUGGAUUGACUCAAGUAUAGUCUAGAUUUGUAUGUAUGUGUGUAACAUUGUUUGAUGUUGUUGACGUUAAUUUUUAUUGGUUAUUAAAUCACCAAAUAUUGUU
rnacentral:misc_RNA from 1 species